rnacentral:rRNA from 1 species
CCUACGGGCGGCAGUGGGGAAUAUUGGACAAUGGGGGGAACCCUGAUCCAGCCAUGCCGCGUGUGUGAAGAAGGCCCUCGGGUUGUAAAGCACUUUCAGUGAGGAAGAACGCCUGGUGGUUAAUACCCAUCAGGAAAGACAUCACUCACAGAAGAAGCACCGGCUAACUCCGUGCCAGCAGCCGCGGUAAUACGGAGGGUGCGAGCGUUAAUCGGAAUUACUGGGCGUAAAGCGCGCGUAGGUGGCUUGAUAAGCCGGUUGUGAAAGCCCCGGGCUCAACCUGGGAACGGCAUCCGGAACUGUCAAGCUAGAGUGCAGGAGAGGAAGGUAGAAUUCCCGGUGUAGCGGUGAAAUGCGUAGAGAUCGGGAGGAAUACCAGUGGCGAAGGCGGCCUUCUGGACUGACACUGACACUGAGGUGCGAAAGCGUGGGUAGCAAACAGGAUUAGAUACCCGAGUAGUC